CAAAUGCCCCUAAGCCCCCCAUAUUACCUUUUUGUAACAGAACUGUCUGUAUAUGGAUUACAAUUAUUUUCCCUCCAUUCGUCUGUUUGUUCGGUUUAUUUCCCUGCCGGUACAGUCCCUAUGUGUUCCCCUGUGAAACUACUGAAAGCCGCACGAAGGCGCGACCACUGGGAAGCUGGCGUGUGCCUCCAAUUGAUCUCC